rnacentral:lncRNA from 1 species
GCCAAGCGAUUCUCGGUUGAGAUUUGUCGUCUACAUGGGCUGCCAAAAACCAUUAUCUCAGACCGAGAUCCCCUAUUUAUCAGCACUUUCUGGAAACACCUAUUCAAGGCACAAGACACAACAUUAAAGUUCAGUUUUGCUUACCACCCGCAAACUGAUGGACAUACAGAAGUUCUUAAUCGAAGUUUGGAAGAUUACAUACGAUGCUUUGCGGGCGAACAUCCUCACACUUGGUUCCAAUAUCUUCAUCUAGCAGAACUUUGGCACAAUACGACUUACCACUCUGCCAUUGGAACCUCACUGUUCCAUGCUCUGUACGGAAGACAACCUCCCACCGCCCUAGAUCUGUUGCACAGUCCACGCUCAGGCACCACCGUUGCUGAUUUAUUGCACCAACACACGCUGGUUCUCCACGCCCUCAAACAAAACCUUCGUCGGGCUCGUCAACGAAUGUGCGACCAGGCCAACCGCC